AUUGAACGCUUGCGGCAGGCCUAACCCAUGCAAGUCGAACGAGUGGCGGACGGGUGAGUCAUGUCUGGGAAACUGCCUGAUGGCGGGGGAUAACUCCUGGAAACGGUAGCUCAUAACGCAUACCCUCGGAUGUGCCCAGAUGGGAUUCGCUAGUAGGGGGGGUAAAGGCUCACCUAGGCGACGAUCCCUAGCUGGUCUGAGAGGAUGCCCAGCCACGCUGGAACGGAGACACGGUCCAGACUCCUACGGGAGGCAGCAGGGGGGAAUAUUGCACAAUGGGCGCAAGCCUGAUGCAGCCAUGCCGCGUGUAUGAAGAAGGCCUUCGGGUUGUAAAGUACUUUCAGCGGGGAGGCGUUACCCGCAGAAGAAGCACCGGCUAACUCCGUGCCAGCAGCCGCGGUAAUAC
rnacentral:rRNA from 1 species